AAAAGUUGUAUUAUGGAGAUAAAGUCGCUCAGUAGCUCUUUCUUAUGGUCUGGUCCAAUCCUAAGUUCUAAGAAAGCUAAGGUCUCAUGGAUUGAAGUUUGUAAGCCAAAGUCCAAAGGAGGUUUGGGGAUUUGGUCUUUGAUAAAGGCUAAUAAGUCUGCUGUCUUAAGCUUGUUUGGAGACUAUUGUAGAAUAAAUCUUCUUUGUGGGUUGUGUGGAUCAAAGAGUAUUUGCUGAGUGGUCAAUCCUUUUGGUUAUUACAUGAGUCUAUACUCAUGGCUCUUGGAUAUGGUGGAGAAUGUUAAAAACAAGAAGUAGAGCUAGAGACUAUCAUCACAUGAAGGUGAAUAAUGGAGAGAAGACUUCUUUUUGGUAUUACGUGCACCUGUGGUUUUAUUAAUAUUGGUGUAUCGCCCCAAUCUUCUUUGGCCUCGAUUUGGCGCUCUCACCCGACAAAGAAGAUAUAUAAUACCGUAUCAGUUAGUCCUAAAUCAUAUCCCAUAUGAUUAGCGACUCAAUCAAAACCUCAAUCAAGGAAUGAAUCAAUUAGUACCGUAGAAUCUGUGUUUGACUAUCAUUUGUAUUAACUAGCUUUGAUAUUCUUUUGUAUAUAUAAAGGUGUAAUCCUUCUUGUGAAUGAGAUAUACAGAAAUCCUUUUCAUCUCUGUUAUUACAUGGUAUCAGAGCCUGAAUCAUUUGUUUUAUAAGAAAAAAAAAUGUUUUUGAAUCAAGAGAGAAUGACAAAUUCCUACCUAAAACGAAACACGAACCUGAUUGCUGAGACGAACCUGAUCCUGACAAACACGAAGCCAACGAUGAAGAUGGUGACACCCAUGAGCAAGAACUUGACAACGAUGACCAUGGAGAUCUGACAAACAACCCGAUAUAUGAAUGACGACGAACGCAAAACCAAGACGAUUUUGUAUGCAAAUGCGGUACGUGUGAGUGCACCUACGCGUUGUGAACAUGCGAACAAUAUGAUCACAGACAAAGAUCGAGACGGAGUCGGUGGGAUGAGUGAUGAUCAAUGGCGUGGAAUAAAGAAUUUACUUAAUGCUGGAAAAACAAAUCAAACCGAAUGUCUCUCGGGUAAGAUCUGUGUUCCAUUUUGGAUUUUGGACACAGGGGCGUCGCAUCACUUGACGGGAAGAUUAGAUAUAUUGUCUGACUUGAGGGACAUUGCACCUGUGAUGAUAAUACUAGCUGAUGGAUGAUAAUACCGUAUUUUUGACCAUUUUUAUGGAUUAUUUUGAAAUAUUUUUUUUAUGUUUUUUUUAAUUGUUUUUAAGUACUUUUAUUACGUUUUUCUAGUAUUUGUAGUUCCAAGACUCGUUUCAGGAAACUUAAGGAAAAGCUUAACAAAAUGGAUAGAAGACCAGAUUUCAGCUCAGAGUCAAACCGUCAGAAGUUCACCCCCGAUUGAAAGCCUUCUCACCGUCCGAACCAGCUCAAAUUUGGAGAUCUUAAAGAUGGAAGUAUCAGCUUUCCAGUACACUUUACAGUUUGGCAAUCCAACGGUUCAAUCAAAAGAUACGCAAAGAGCAAGAUAUCCCGUAAACCAGCCAGCAAGCAUUUCCACCCGCGGCCAACAGGCCAUUCCCCGCGGUCACAACCAUCCCGACCGCGGCCAGCCACCCAUUCCCCGCGGUCACGAACUUCUCGACUGUGGCCAGCUAACUCCGAGUUUGAAAGCCCAUUUCUGAAGCCCGUAUCAUUUUCCCAGCCUCAAUUCCGGAACCCUAGACACCAGAGAGUAUUGGAGACUAUAAAUACAUAUCAUUUAGGUUGUUUUUGAAAAGAAAAGAGGAGAGAUAAAAUACUUUACAGAAAUUUUACUUUAAGCUUUGUUUUUAGAUUUUAGGGAGAGAGAGAUCUAUCUCUUGAACCCUUGUUCUUUCUUUUUCAAUUUCGGUUUCUGUUCUACUUUUUAAUACUAUGUUUUUUAUUUCGUUUAUCAUGUCUGAGUAGUUUUAUUGUUGGGUCUAAGGGAUUUUCGAUGGGGAUAUAUAUGUUCGGUGAGGAUUCCAUUGGCUAUUGAGCCGAAUCUUAGAACUUUUUCUUCUGAAUUCAUUUUUACUGCAUGAGAGUAGCGUCAUGAACUACAAUCUGAUCCAGAUGCUUGGUGACACGAAAAUGUUCAUCCGGUGUCAAAUCUAGUUUGGGAGAGCAAAACAAACAUAGGAGUGGAAACCUACCUAUGGGCGAUUUGUGAAUGCUGACGAGUCUUAAACAUAAUGCAUCUCUUCUUUUCCAGGGCCAGAGUGGAAACCUACUGGUCAGGGUUGAUAGAGAUAGUUGUCUAUGAUCACGACAGUGGCGUAUUUAUACGUCCGUGAGUCAAGUUUGAAAAAUUUAAGCUAAGAUCUUAUCAAAUUUACUCUCUAGCAAUGUUUUAAAUCGUUCAUACCCCUGAGAGAACUUCCCUGAACCCCAGCGCUUUCUUUUCUAUAGAUUUACACCGAUUUUCAUUCAAGCUUUAAUCUAGUUUAUUUGUUCUUUCAAUCGAUUUUCAUUAAAGCAAUUAGGUUUAGCCGUUUUUCUUGUUUUUACCCGUUUUCGUUAAGUUUAGUUAUUAGGUCAUUUUAAUUCCCCGUAUUCUCUCUUCAAGAUUCGUUUUUACGUUUUAAACACACCAUCAAAACCCUCACAAAACUCGUCUGGUUCUAGACUUCCUUACUUUAUAUUUCUUUCCAAGGCUUUUGCAGGAAAGAUCCUCCUUCCCUGUGGAUUUGAUCCCUAAGUACUACAAUCGAUCAGCUGUGCACUUGCGGCUAUUGAUUUCAUUUAGAGUAAAACUUGACACCCUCGACACACACCACAUCAAGUUUUUGGCGCCGUUGCCGGAGAAGGCACGCGUUUUCUUUUCUGCAAAACCCUAAGAAAGGUUGGUAAAUCGACUCUAGGACCCCUUUUUCUGCAUAUUUCCAUUUUUCGGUUAUUUUGUUUCCAUUUCAGAAGCAAUGGAUCCUAAAAAUCGAAAUCCCUACUAUGAGGAAUGUUUUUACAACACUCCUCAAGCCACCAGACGCCGAGAGAAGCAAUACUUACGCGAUCUCUACGAAGAAAUUUGAACCAAAGACUCCAGAACGAGCCCUACGUACCUCCAAUGGUAAACCCUAGACGACCUAUGUAUCGCCUACCUCACCAGGUUCUCCAGCAAGAUGAGAACGUCCAGCUCAGUAACCGAUUGAGUCAGCUCGAAGGCGUAAUCAAGCAGUUCAUAGAAGCUCAAGCAACCGCUACAGCCGCUCUAAACGAAAGGAUUGACGAGAUAUCAAAACUUUUCAAUGAGAAGAUCGAUAACCUAGCUUCACAAGUCAAAUCAAUAGAAGAACGAGCAACCAAGGACGCAGCUAUGAUCGCUAACAAGUUCGACAGCAUAGAGGAAGAGCAAGCGAAGCACACCUACGAGCUUUGCAGCACCAAAAACAAAGUCAUGGACCUGGAUUUCAAACUUGAUGAUGUGGACAAAGCCCUAAACUAAGCUAAGAACGAGUCUUAUGACUUCACAGUCGAAGUUUCAGAAAAGGUUUACAAAGUCAUUGACAAAACCGAAGAGCUUGACUCAACUAUGGAAGAAGUAUUCUAUGCUCUUGAUGAAGUUGAAGAAAAGGUUGAGGAGAUCAUACAAGGACUUGGAGAGCAGAUUUCAGCAACCAAAACUAAAGACUCAAGUCCAGAGAGGAAGUACAUCAAGCCAGAAGACCCAGAAGAUCAUCCAGGAAGCAAAGGAGCAAGCAACAUCAGCAAAUCAACUCGGAGACACUUUCCCGCAGUCGGGUCACUUCCGACCGCGGCCAAGAGGCUUUCUCCUGUGGUCAUGCUCGGUCUACCCGUGGCCCAUGGGCGAUUUCCUGCGGUCGAGUCUCUUGCAGUCAAGGCUAACCGGAAAAACGUUCCAAAACAGCUCGUUCAGCUCAUACAAGCAGCUGUGCGUCUGAUAUACCUCCUGGGAUGACUAAACCACUCCAUCAGAAACUGGUUUGCUCCAUCAGCAUUCAAAGAUCUGAAGACGAAGACAAGUCAUUGCCCUGCAACAUGGCCUUGUCUUGUGAAGAUGAGUAUGAAGAACAAUACUCUGAAGAUGAAGAGUAUGGGUUGUUUGUAGAAGAUCCAAUCGCAGGAUAUUCCUCCGAAGACGGUUCAGGAGAAAUUCAAUGGAUCACCAACAACAUCAGGAGAAGCUCAUAGAGUUCAAAAAUGUGGUCAGGUCAUUCCCUGCUCACCUAAGCUUUGAUGAAAUCUGGAAGCUUGGUCGUUUGCAAGUCUUUUUCAGGUACUGCAAGGAGUGUAAGGAGGAUAUCCAUAGAUACUUUAUGCAAGCUCGAUACAUGACAACACCAGAAGCAGCUGUCUAUGCGAUUCACCUUAAAACACCCGAAGACUGCAGCUACUACACCAACAAAAUCAGCAAAGAAAAGCUCGACGAAUUCAAUGAUGUAGUCCAAAAUUUGCCUGAAGAAAUCACCUUUGCCAGAGCUUGCAAGGACUUCAUGAUAGGCCAUUACUUCUGUGAGAGCAAGGAAUCAAUCUCUGAGAUAGAAGACUUGUUCAAUCAUGCCAGAAGAGGUAAACCUGUUCGAACACUUCACAAAAUCGAAGGUGUAGGUCAGUUUCUCAUCUCUUGUUCUAUUAGAUGAGAAAUGUUUAAAAACGUGCUUUGUGAUUCUGGAGCUGGUCUUAACAUGAUGUCCAAGGCAAUUGAUUUGAGACUUGGUAUUAAGCACCUGUGUAGGACUAGAGCAAAGAUUAGUCUAGCUGAUGAUUCCAAUGCAACGCCUCAAGGAAUAAAGCUCAUGAAAUUCCUUUGAGAAUAGGAGAUUGCAUUGUGCCUGUCGACUUCUACAUUGUCGAAACGAGACGCAACACAUCCAGCGAUUCUCGGAUGGUCUUUUCUAGCAACUUCCGGAGCUAUAAUGGACUGGCCAAACCGGAGGAUUUCGUUUGCUAAUAUCGACAAAGAUGUCUUCACAGAAGCUGUCUCAUACAACAGCAAAGCAGGAAAACGUUCUGCAACAGAAGAGUUUGAAGAAGAACUUUGGAGUGACGAAGAACCUGCUAAGCAAAGCAAGGAGAUGUCGAAAAAGACUUGUCUCAGGACAAGAUCUUCUUCAUUGGACUAAGCCACGUCCAACACCAAAAGUCGAGCUAAACGACUUAAAACAGAAGCGCUUAAUGGGAGGCAACCCAUUUAGGUAUUGUUUUCUUUAAGUUUUUUCUUUCUUUUCUCAUUUGAUCUUUUUCUUUUUCUUAGUUUCAGGUGUUUCUUAUAAAACAAAAAAGACCAAAAAAAAUCAAAAAACCGAAAAGACCAAAAAGAAGGAUGGUCCCUGACUGCUCGGCCCAGCAGAAACCAAGGAGAAGCAGGAAACAGGCCGCGAUAUAAGCCCCCGCGGUCGCAGGUGUUCUGACCGCGAGAAACACAUGUUCGACCGCGGCCGCGUCUUCCUGACCGCGGCCGAAAGCUACUUUGCCGCGGUCACGUGGCUCCUGACCGCAGCAAAUGGUUGUUGAGACGAAACCCGACCCCAAAUCACCCACUUCACCUCAUUCCACCUCAUUAAUCCCCACUCCACCUCAUUCAUCACUUCCUACCACCUUCAUCACCACCUAUCACCUUCCCAAACCUCUUCGAUCCGGUCCAUCACCACCAGCAUCCCGGAUCCAGGUAAGUUCUCUUUGGCCUUACCAAUUCGAUUUUCUAUGCAUUUUUCUCAUCCAAUCUCGACUUGUUUCACACUGAGGACAGUGUGAUUUAAGUCUGGAGGAGGAUUUCAUCCCUUUCUAACCAUUUUUCUUUCAUGAGUCUUGCAUUAUCUACAUUUUUUUCAUUUUCCUUAAAGUUUUUCAAAACCGGUUUUCAAAACAAAAUACGUUAGGGAAUGGUGAACAUAAAUCAAUGAUAGUUGACUGUGUGCUUUUAGACUGUUCCUAGUGACAUGCUCAUUCAUGAUUUAGGACUAGACUACGCGGUAGCUAAGCACAUUUGAAAUGAAGUACCCCAGAGGAAUUUGAAUGAUUUCGAUUUAGAUGAAGGAAUACACUAGCUCUGUUUUAUUUGGACUUAACUUGGACUUAAUUUUCUCAUUGAAGCAUUAGACCAGGGAAAAAAAUCAUACAUUCAGGACUACUUUAUCCUUUUACCACUCUCUGUUGAUCCUGAAUGGCUAGUUCAUGUUUAGCUAGUUCCCUACCUUAACCAAUCCUCUUUCAAACCACAUGCACUCUUGUUUUCUAUUGUCUUAUAUGCAGAUAAGUGCAAAAACGUUGGAGAGAAAGAGGAACGACGCAGUUUUCAGUCACUAAGGACAGAGACCUGCGAUUUGCCGGAAAAGUUCCCGGAAGGAUUCAACACAAGAGGAAGCUCAGUUUGCCUUAGAAAAAUCUCAAAUUUUGGUACAAUCCCGUCCUCUAGUCUCUCUCUCUUUAAAAGACAUUUCCUUUUCGUUUAAAAAAAAAAAAUACCGAAAAUAAGAAAAGAAAUGAAAUAAAAGCCUUAGAGAGUCUAGAGAAGUCGAAUUUUAAGUCCCAAGGCAACUGGAGUUCAAUUAUAUGGAGUUUUGGUGAUCAUUUUCUGAUUUCCGGAAAGAAUCUAAAACUGGAGGAAUAGCUGUUUACAACAAAGGAGGAAAGAUUAUGCAACAAAAUUUGGCAAGAAGAAGUGACUGAAAAUUGCGGUCCUCAACAGGUCCUUAUCUCUCUUGCGGUUUUGCAUAUUAUCUUGCAUCCUCCAGAUUCAUCAGGUAACCCGAAACACUUUAACUCCACCACUUAAACAGCUCUUUAAUGCCAAACGCCGUCUACCCUGGAUGAUGUCUUUAAUGAGAACUCACUAUUGAACUUAAUGAAUGUAGAGAGCUAGUUGACUGGAGUCAAGAUUUAGAUUGUUUAAGUUUUGCAUGACGGAAAAAGUGGACUAGUAUCUUUUGUGUAUUGGUGAGAAUUUUCUAGACUAAGUUUUGGAUUGAUGCACUAUCUUUGGUCCUAGUUUAGGAGUUCAUGUCUCUGAGAUUUGUGCAUUUCCUAUUUUUGUCUUCACUUAACCAGUUUAGACUUUUGCUUUGUUUGAGGACAAACAAAGGUUUAAGUCUGGGGGAGUUGAUAACACCGUAUUUUGACCACUUUUAUGAAUUGUUUUGAAAUACUUUUUCUAUGUUUUUAAUUGCUUUUAAGUAUUUUUAUUACGUUUUUCUAGUAUUUGUAGUUCCAAGACUCUUUUCAGGAAACUUAGGAAAAAGCUUAACAAAAUGGAUAGAAGACCAGAUUUCAGCUCAUAGUCAAACCGUCAGAAGUUCACCCCCGAUUAAAGGCCUUUUUACCGUCUGAUCCAGCUCAAAUUUGGAGAUCUUAAAGAUGGAAGUAUCAGCUUUCCAUCACACUUUACAGUUUGGCAAUCCAACGGUUCAAUCAAAAGAUACGCAAAGAACAAGAUGUCCCGUAAACCAGCAUGCAAGCAUUUCCACCCUCGGCCCACAGGCCAUUCCCCGCGGUCACAACCAUCCCGACCGCGGCCAGCCACCCAUUCUGUCACGCACUUCCCGACCGCGGCCAGCUAAUUCCGAGUUUGAAGGCCCAUUUCUGAAGCCCGUAUCAUUUUCCCAGCCUCAAUUCCGGAACCCUAGAUACCAGAGAGUAUUGGAGACUAUAAAUACAUAUCAUUUAGGUCGUUUUUGAAAAGAAAAGAGGAGAGACAAAAUACUUUACAGAAAUUUUACUUUAAGCUUUAUUUUUAGAUUUUAGGGAGAGAGAGAUCUAUCUCUUGAACCCUUGUUCUUUAUUUUUCAAUUUCGGUUUCUGUUCUACUUUUUAAUACUAUGUUUUUGAUUUUGUUUAUCAUGUCUGAGUAGUUUUAUUGUUGGAUCUAAGGGAUUUUCGAUGGGGAUAUAUAUGUUCGGUGAGGAUUUCAUUGUCUAUUGAGCCGAAUCUUAGAAAUUUUUCUUCUGAAUUCGUUUUUACUGCAUGAGAGUAGCGUCAUGAACUACAAUCUGAUCCAGAUGCUUGGUGACACGAAAGUGUUCAUCCGGUGUCAGAUUUAGUUUAGGAGAGCAAAACAAACAUAGGAUUGGAAACCUACCUAUGGGCGAUUUGUGAAUGCUGACGAGUCUUAAACAUAAUGCAUCUCUUCUUUUUCAGGGCCAGAGUGGAAACCUAUUGGUCAGGGUUGAGAGAGAUAGUUGUCUAUGAUCAUGACAGUGGCGUAUUCAUACGUCCGUGACUCCAGUUCAAAAAGUUUAAGCUAAGAUCUUAUCAAAUUUACUCUCUAGCAAUGUUUUAAAUCGUUCAUACCCCUGAGAAAACUUCCCUGAACCCCAGCGCUUUCUUUUCUAUAGAUUUACACCGAUUUUCAUUCAAGCUUUAAUCUAGUUUAUUUGCUCUUUCAAUCGAUUUUCAUUAAAGCAAUUAAGGUUAGCCGUUUUUCUCGUUUUUACCCGUUUUCGUUAAGUUUAGUUAUUAGGUCAUUUUAAUUCCCGUAUUCUCUCUUCAAGAUUCGUUUUUACGUUUUAAACACACCACCAAAACCCUCACAAAACUCGCCUGGUUCUAGACUUCCUUACUUUAUAUUUCUUUCGAAGGCUUUUGCAGGAAAGAUCCUCCUUCCCUGUGGAUUCGAUCCCUAAGUACUACAAUCGAUCAGCUGUGCACUUGCGGCUAUUGAUUUCAUUUAAGGUAAAACUUGACACCCUUGAACAUAUUUCUGUAAAAGAAGGCACUGUCUACCUUGGUUCUUCUUUGGUUUUACACUCGGUUUUCUAUGUUGAGGGAUUACAAUCUGAUCUGAUUUUGGUAGGGCAAUUGAUGGAUGAGAAUCACUGUGUGAUUCAAAUGGUUGAUCACUAUCUAGUUGUCCAAGAUCGUACUUCUAGAAUGGUGAUUGGAGCGGGUAAGAGAGAAGAUGGGACCUUUCACUUUCGUGGCACUGAGUUCGCUGGAGCGGUCGCAACGGUAUCACAAUCAUAUGCUUUGUGGCAUAAUCGAUUGGGACACCCAUCUGCAAAAGUUGUUGGUCUAUUACCUGAUGUGGCAUCUCCGGUUUCAUCUGAGAUUAUGAAUAAGGCGUGUGAUGUAUGUCUCCGAGCUAAGCAGACGAGGAACUCAUUUCCAUCUAGCACCACUAAAACUACGACUAAUUUUGAAUUAGUCCACUGCGAUCUUUGGGGUCCGUAUCGAACACCGUCGUCUUCUGGUGCACGAUAUUUUCUUAGGAUCGUUGACGACUUCUCUCGGAGUGUGUGGUUGUAUCUUUUGAAUGACAAAACCGAAACAGCCACACAUUUGAAAUUUUUUAUCUCCAUGGCUGAUCGUCAAUUUCAAGCAUAAGUGAAGUGUGUUAGAAGCGAUAAUGGAACCGAAUUUACAAGUUUGACGACAUUCUUUCAAAGUGAAGGGAUAACACAUGAGACUUCUUGUGUGGGUACGCCUCAGCAAAUUGGUCGGGUAGAGAGGAUUCAUCGACAAAUUCUUAAUGUUGCUAGAGCAUUGCGAUUUCAAGCGAAUUUGCCAAUUAAGUUUUGGGGCGAAUGUAUAUUGACAGCAGGUUACUUAAUCAACUGUACACCAAGCUCAGUCUUGAAUGGAUUGACACCUUACGAGAAAUUACACAAGAAAUCGCCUGAUUAUGCUCAUUUAAGAGUGUUUGGCAGUCUUUGUUAUGCACAUAAUCAAGGACACAAAGGGGAUAAAUUUGAAGCUCGCAGCCGAAAGUGUGCAUUUGUAGGUUAUCCUUAUGGGAAAAAGGGAUGGAGAUUAUAUGAUCUUCAAAGUGAGCAGUUCUUCGUUUCCAGAGAUGUCGUUUUUUACGAACAAGAAUUUCCUUUUGCAAAACCUGAUAUGUCUACUCACUGUGAAGAAGAAGUGUGCUAUGGGCCCCAAUUUCAUCAAACCCAGUUAUUGAAGAUGAAGCAAGGAUUUCACGUGGGGUAUUGCUAAAUGAAAGCCCAACAAUUUCAUUAGGCCCACAAGAAAUAGAUAAUAACCCAAAUGAGAAUAUGAUGGAAUCAUCAUCUUCUUCCUCAAGAAGAAACAAGGAUGGAUCUUCCUCUCUUUCUUCUACGUCUCAAUCGGAGUUACCACCACCGUCACCGGUCGAUCCACCACCGGCGACAUCCACACCGGUUGAUUCGCCAUCUGUGAUACCCACACCCGCACUAGUCAAUCCACCUGAUAGAAGACUGUCCUAGAAUUGUCACACACUUGGCUCAGUGGAGGUUGAUAGAUCCUUGAAUCCAGACCGGUUCAGUGAAAAGAUGCUAAGGCGUGAGCAAGAGCUCGAAGAUCCUUAGGCCCAAUUCCAAAAGAAAAGGUUGGAAGCGAGGGGAUGGGCAAAGAUGAUCAAGGGGUUGCGAUAUCGGAUGUUAGGGUGUGAGACAAGUCCCGAAAUUCCCUAAGCCCCAGAUAUGACUACAAACUCUCUCUCACUUUGUAAACGAAGGCUGCGUCAAGCAAGGUGAAUCUACUUGAUAAACCAGAAAUCGAUCAAUGGCUAACCACCAAAAUAUCGAAAAGUUCUUAGAGAACAAAAGAGAAAACUCAAAGAAAAUUUUUAUAAAUAGAUAAGUGAUGAUGAGAAUGAGUACAUUGUUGCCUUUAUAUAGAGGCUAGAGGGAGACCAUCGGUCUUACAGAGAAUUAAAAGAACAUUAAUGAAACUAAAUGAAACUAGAAAUACGUUGAAUAACGAUCGGACUUCCAGCUGACCCUUCGCAUCCUCUCGCUAGACUUUUGAGCUCCUUGACCGUUAUACUUGGUCGCGAAUCGAACCGUGGUCGUGAGAUGGGUGUGCCUUAACCUCGUUAAAACGCCAUUCGGAAAACCUAGUGGGACAAAACCGAAUGUAAGGGAAAAGAGUAUUAAGACAACACCCCAACCAGGUCAGUUCGGACCAGAGUACAUGAUGACGGUCAUGACUUUAUGAACGGGUGUUGGGUCGUCAGCUCGGCCUUGGUUCCUUAGCUCGGUGAGAACUCGCUGGAUUGCUCCCAUAAGCUUCUUGGUACGCGACCUGGUCAUUGGUCCAGUUGGCAUGGCCAGGACGUCGUUCAGGUCGACUCCUUGGUCUUGUGCCCCGUCCUGAACCUCGACUUCGCUUAGGUGGCCACUUGAUCUUUUAUUCCGGCUUGAACCUCGAUUUUUUCCUCGUCCUUUGCUCCCUCCGGUUCCAUGAUUCUAUCAUCCCCCCCCCCCUCUUGAAAAGGACUUGUCCUCAAGUCGGCUUCAUCUGCGUGAAAAGGAAUGAUAUCAGCGAUAUUGAAGCUUGAACUGACGAAGUACUUACCUUGGAGGUCGAUCUUGUAAGAAUUAUCGUUGAUCCGUUCUAGGAUAGUGAAGGGUCCGUCCACUCUUGGCAUCAACUUAGACUUCCUUUCUUCCGGAAAUCUUUCUUUCCUUAGGUAGAUCCACACUUGAUCUCCGGGCUCGAACAUCCUUUUGGUCUUUCCUUUGUCUGCGUACUUCUGGAAUUGUUCCGUUUUUCUUUCGAUGUUCUUUCUUGCCUUUUCGUGCAUUUUCUUCACCAGGUCCGCUUUCUUUUUCCCGUCCAUGUUUUCACGCUCAUUCAUUGGUAAAGGGGUUAGAUCCAAAGGGGUAAGAGGAUUAAAACCAUAAACUAACUGAAAUGGUGAAAACAAAGUAGUAGAAUGAACAGCUCGGUUAUAAGCGAACUCAACGUGAGGUAAACAAUCCUCCCAAGUUCUAAGGUUCUUUUUAAUGACCGAUCUCAAAAUGGCUGACAAGGUCCUAUUGACCACUUCGGUUUGACCUUAGGUCUGAGGGUGACAAGUGGUGGAAAAACACAAUUUUGUCCCUAACUUAGCCCACAACGUCUUCCAAAAGUAACUAAGAAACUUAGUAUCCGGAUCUGACACUAUGGUUCUAGGAACAGGUCGGCUAUGUUGGAAGCAUCAUCAGUUUUGUGGCAAGGAACAAAGUGUGCCAUCUUAGAGAACCUAUCUACUAUGACAGAGAUAGAGUCCCUACCUCGACGGGUCCUUGGUAACCCGAGGACGAAGUCCAUCGAGAUGUCGGUCCAUGGCUCGGUUGGGAUUGGUAAGGGAGUGUACACGCCUGUGCCUUGGCUACGUCCUUUGGCGAGUUUGCAAACCGUGCACCGUUGGCAGAUUCGUUCCACGUCCUUUCUGAGGUGCGACCAAUAGAAAUGGUCUUGGACCACACUUAACGUCUUAAGGACCCCAAAAUGUCCCAUCAAGCCUCCUCCAUGUGCCUCCCUGACAAUUAAGUCACACAUAGAAGUGUUAGGUAUACAAAGUUUAUGCUCAUAAAACAAGUAACCGUCACUCUGAUAAUAUUUGCCAUGGGCAAACUUAGAACUGGCGUGAUAAGCUUCUUGGAAAUCCAGGUCGGUUGCGUAGGCUUCUUUGAUCAUCUCAAAUCCAAGUAUUUUAGCAUCAAGCGUGGAGAUCAGGGUAUAACGUCGAGAUAGCGUGGAGAUCAGGGUAUAACGUCGAAAUCCAGGUCGGUUGCGUAGGCUUCUUUGAUCAUCACAACAUUCUCUUUUCCUUGCUUGUACUGAAUCACAUAAGGAAAGGUCUUGAUGAAUUCGACCCAUCUCGCAUGCCGCUUGUUCAGUUUCUGUUGUCCUUUGAGAUGCUUCAAGGACUGGUGAUCGGUGUGGAUAACGAACUCCUUAGGCCACAAGUAAUGUUGCCACGUCUGUAGAGCUCGGACCAAUGCAUAGAGCUCCUUGUCGUAGGUCGGGUAGUUAAGCGUAGCUCCUCCAAGUUUUUCGCUAAAGUAAGCGAUGAGUCGCUUCUCCUGCAUGAGCACGGCUCCAAUUCCCACUCCGGAUGCAUCACACUCGAUCUUAAAGGUCUUGAGGAAAUCGGGCAGGGAAAGUAAUGGUGCAUGUGUAAGCCGGUGCUUGAGGGUGUUGAAUGCGUGGCUCUGGUACCACUUGAUAAAAGACCGUCCUAGAAUUGUCACACACUUGGCUCGGUGGAGGUUGAUAGAUCCUUGAAUCCAGACCGGUUCAGUGAAAAGAUGCCAAGGCGUGAGCAAGAGCUCGAAGAUCCUUAGGCCCAAUUCCAAAAGAAAAGGUUGGAAGCGAGGGGAUGGGCAAAGAUGAUCAAGGGGUUGCGAUAUCGGAUGUUAGGGUGUGAGACAAGUCCCGAAAUUCCCUAAGCCCCAGAUAUGACUAAAAACUCUCUCUCACUUUGUAAACGAAGGCUGCGUCAAGCAGGGUGAAUCUACUUGAUAAACUAGAAAUCGAUCAAUGGCUAACCACCAAAUAUCGAAAAUUUCUUAGAGAACAAAAGAGAAAACUCAAAAAGAAAUUUUAUAAAAAGAUAAGUGAUGAUGAGAAUGAGUACAUUGUUGCCUUUAUAUAGAGGCUAGAGGGAGACCAUCGGUCUUACAGAGAAUUAAAAGAACAUUAUAUGAAACUAAAUGAAACUAGAAAUAUGUUGAAUAACGAUCGGACUUCCAGCUGACCCUUCGCAUCCUCUCGCUAGACUUUUCAGCUCCUUGACCGUUAUACUUGGUCGCGAAUCGAACCGUGGUCGUGAGAUGGGUGUGCCUUAACCUCGUUAAAACCCCAUUCGGAAAACCCAGUGGGACAAAACCGAAUGUAAAGAAAAAGAGUAUUAAGACAACACCCCAACCAGGUCAGUUCGGACCAGAGUACAUGAUGACGGUCAUGACUUUAUGAACGGGUGUUGGGUCGUCAGCUCGGCCUUGGUUCCUUAGCUCGGUGAGAACUCGCUGGAUUGCUCCGAUAAGCUUCUUGAUACGCGACCUGGUCAUUGGUCUAGUUGGCAUGGCCAGGACGUCGUUCAGGUCGGCUCCUUGGUCUUGUGCCCCGUCCUGAACCUCGACUUCGCUUAGGUCGGCCACUUGAUCUUUUAUUCCGGCCUGAACCUCGAUUUGUUCAUCGUCCUUUGCUCCCUCCGGUUCCAUGAUUCUAUCACCACCACCGCAAGAAAUUUUGCUAGGUCGUGGUCAACGGAUAAAGACAAAACCGGUAACUCUUCGCAACUUUGUUGUUAAUACAGCACAAAGUACGCUUCUGGGAAACUUCAAAGGCAAGUCAUUGUAUCCAAUUGACAAAUAUGUGAGCUGCGAUCCAUUUUCUGCAACACACCGAGCAUAUAUGGCAGCUGUUAUAACUCUUGAUGAACCCAAGACGUUCAAACAAGCAGUUGUCAAGGGAGUUUGGAGGAAAGCUAUGGGGAAUGAGAUAGAAGCCCUGGAAAGCAAUCAAACUUGGACACUUGUGGACUUACCGAAAGGAAAACGAACCCUCAGAUCAAAAUGGGUCUAGAAAAUCAAGCUCAAGUCAGAUGGAUCCAUAGAGCGGUAUAAAGCACGUCUGGUGGUGCUCGGGAACAAUCAAAAAGAAGGUGAAGAUUAUGGAGAGACUUUUGCACCAGUUGCAAAAAUGGAAACCGUACGUUUGUUUUUGCAAGUGGCUGUCGGGAACAAUUGGCCAGUACAUCAAAUGGAUGUACACAACGCCUUCUUACACGGCGAUCUUCAUGAGGAGGUAUAUAUGAAACCUCCACCUGGUUUUUACUCAACUGAUGAAAACAAAGUUUGCAGAUUACAAAAAUCGUUAUAUGGGUUAAAGCAGACAGCUCGGUGCUGGUUUGAGAAGUUGAAAACUGCAUUGCAAGACUAUGGGUUUCAGCAAUCACUUUUGGACUAUUCUCUGUUUACGUUCGACAAGAGAGGUAUUCAGAUUAAUGAGCUCAUCUAUGUCGAUGACAUGAUUAUUACAAGCAAUUCUCAUGAAGCGCUGGAUAUAUUUAAAGGAUAUCUUUCUUCCUGCUUCAAGAUGAAAGACCUAGGUGCGUUGAAAUUUUUCCUGGGUAUUGAAGUUUCUCGAAGUUCAACAGGUUUUUAUCUUAGUCAACGAAAAUAUGCCUUGGAGAUUGUCACAGAAACAGGACUUCUAGGAGCAAAGCCGGCUGCGUUUCCGUUGGAACAAAACCACAAACUUGCUCUUUCAACUUCACCAUUGCUAGAAAAUCCUCAGCCGUAUCGAAGAUUGAUUGGCAGGUUGAUCUAUUUGACGGUAACCAGACCGGAUUUGGCAUAUUGUGUACAUAUUCUGGCCCAGUUUAUGCAAACACCAAAGGCAGAUCAUUGGCAAGCGGAUCUGCGAGUUGUAUGGUAUUUGAAAGGCAGCAUGGGACAAGGGAUUUUGUUGAAGGCGGUGAAGGAUUUUCAGAUAACGAGUUGGUGCGACUCUGAUUGGUCGAGUUGUCCACUUAUACUGCGCUCCGUAAGUGGCUAUAUUGUACAGCUUGUUGAUUCUCCAAUUUCUUGGAAAACAAAGAAACAAAAAAACGGUUAGUCAAUCUUCUACCGAAGCUGAAUAUCGAGCAUUGGCUUUUCAUACAAAAGAACUUUUGUGGUUCAAGCGUCUUCUAACAUUGUUGGGCAUCAAAUAUGACCAACCAAUCCAUGUUUUCUGUGAUAGUAAAUCUGCUAUUCACAUCGCUACUAAUCCGGUGUUUCAUGAACGGACGAAACACAUCAAAAAUGAUUGUCAUUUUGUGCGCGAUGAGCUACAGUCAGGUACACUUGUGCUAAAUCAUGUUCAUACGACUGCUCAAUUGGCCGAUAUUUGUACUAAACCCCUUGGUCGAGCUGCGUUCGAUGACUUCUGAAGCAAACUGGACAUCCACAACCUGCAUGUUCCAGUUUGAGGGAGGGUAAUACCGUAUCAGUUAGUCCUACAUCAUAUCCCAUAUGAUUAGCGACUCAAUCAAAGCCUCAAUCAAGGAAUGAAUCAAUUAGUACCGUAGAAUCUGUGUUUGACUACCAUUUGUAUUAACUAGCUUUGAUAUUCUCUUGUAUAUAUAAAGGUAUCCUUCUUGUGAAUGAGAUAUACAGAAAUCCUUUUCAUCUCUGUUAUUACGACGUGAUGUCUUUAACUCUAUUCAAUGUAAUAUUUUGUUUAGCAGAAGAGCAUCGAAAUCAGAGAGAGGAUCAGUCACUGUAGAGCACGAAAAAUGGUCUGUACCGUCCAAAUUUCUUAUUGAAAUUUUACUUGGCCCAACAUCAGAUACUCUGAAACUCGUAAGGCGUGGAGUUAUACAGUUUGGUUUCAAAAUGCAACAUCAAAAUUUGCUUGGUUUCAAAAUACAACACCCAAAUUUGCAUUUAUAACAUGGCUAGCAAUGCUGGAUCGCAUGUCCACAGGAGAAUGAAUAGUUCAACAGAGACAGGGCAUUUCAACAGCUUGUGUUCUUUGCUCUGAUCCAAUGGAAACCAGAGCACAUCUAUUUUAUGAAUGUCUUUCUCGCAGCAGAUUUGGGAAACUUAAAUAUGGGAUUGCUAGGGGAUCACUAUUUGAACUAGUGGUAUGAGAUUAUUUGCUCUUCUAUUGUCGAGCAGUUUGGGCAAGAUAAAAUUAUUUGUGGUGCGAUAUUUUUUCCAAGCUACACUUACUUCGAUUUGGAGGGAACGUAAUGGUCGUUGGAGACGCCCCAAAUUCAGCACAAAGUUUGAUAGUGCCUUGGAUAAAACGUACGCAAUCGUCUGAGAGCAUUGUGUGCCGGUAAUUAACGCUAUAAUGAGGGAAUGGACUCAAAGAUAAAGGAGAAGCAUGAGAACCUUUACUUAAAGUUCUUCCUCUGUUUUUAAGAUUGUGAUCCUAUUUUUUUUAUUUCUUUCUUGGAAAGCUUAUGUAAAGAAAACAGAUUUUUUUUUUAAUCUAAUUUAAC
rnacentral:lncRNA from 1 species